GUGGCAAAAUGGUUAAGUACUCAGCUACUAACUGAAAGAUUGGUGGUUCAAAUCCACCC
rnacentral:tRNA from 1 species